CCAAAGGCUCUUUUCAGAGCCACCUCCAUGCUUGAAAAAGGAGCGU
rfam:Erinaceus europaeus unplaced genomic scaffold scaffold00776, whole genome shotgun sequence